CUCCUAAUAGUGCCAGGUCCUAUGAGCCUGUGGUGUCAUGUUCAUUUAAAACUACCACAGCGAGGGGCCUGGAGAGAUAGCUCAGUGGUUAAGAGCAUUGACUGCUCUUCCAAAGGUUCUGAGUUCAAAUCCCAGCAACCACAUGGUGGCUCACAACCAUCUGUAAUGGGAUCCGAUGCCCUCUUCUGGUGUGUCUGAAGACAUUAACAGUGUACCCACAUGCAUGAAAUAAAUAAAUUAAAAAAAAAAAAAAAA
rnacentral:lncRNA from 1 species